rnacentral:lncRNA from 1 species
UUGCAGGUUUUUAAUUAGAUGGUACUCAUCUUCCACUAAUUUAAAGGUAGAUCUAUUAUUUUUAGAUAUGUAUUUUUGUGUGUUCUAUAAAGGUAGAUUUAUCUAAUCUUCCAUUCAUUUUUUCUGUUUUUAAGCCAUUUGAACGUUUUUGAAUAUGCAGGUUUUUCAGAUCUGGAUAUAAUAUGCAGGUUUUUCAGAUCUGGAAGACUUUUGGGACGACUUACUUGUUAGUCGUCUGGAAGUCGUCUGGAAGUCGUCUGGACUUCCUAAAAGUCGUC